rnacentral:miRNA from 1 species
AUCCGCACUCUGACUCUCCACC